CCCCGUACACAAAAAUGCACAUACUGUGAGCUCGAUGAGUAGGGCGGGACACGUGGUAUCCUGUCUGAAUAUGGGGGGACCAUCCUCCAAGGCUAAAUACUCCUGACUGACCGAUAGUGAACCAGUACCGUGAGGGAAAGGCGAAAAGAACCCCGGCGAGGGGAGUGAAAAAGAACCUGAAACCGUGUACGUACAAGCAGUGGGAGCACAGAGCAAUCUGUGUGACUGCGUACCUUUUGUAUAAUGGGUCAGCGACUUAUAUUCUGUAGCAAGGUUAACCGAAUAGGGGAGCCGAAGGGAAACCGAGUCUUAACUGGGCGUUAAGUUGCAGGGUAUAGACCCGAAACCCGGUGAUCUAGCCAUGGGCAGGUUGAAGGUUGGGUAACACUAACUGGAGGACCGAACCGACUAAUGUUGAAAAAUUAGCGGAUGACUUGUGGCUGGGGGUGAAAGGCCAAUCAAACCGGGAGAUAGCUGGUUCUCCCCGAAAGCUAUUUAGGUAGCGCCUCGUGAAUUCAUCUCCGGGGGUAGAGCACUGUUUCGGCAAGGGGGUCAUCCCGACUUACCAACCCGAUGCAAACUGCGAAUACCGGAGAAUGUUAUCACGGGAGACACACGGCGGGUGCUAACGUCCGUCGUGAAGAGGGAAACAACCCAGACCGCCAGCUAAGGUCCCA
rnacentral:rRNA from 1 species